UGAAGAGAAAGGAUUCCAGCUGGACCUUCAGUUUUCAGCUACUGCAGCACCUCCUGAACAGUCUUCAGAUUCAGGUUUACGUCCAGAAACGCCAAAUUUAAACCUGAACCUGCAGGUGAGAGCUGCUGAUCCAGUAGAAACAGGUGUGAAAGUUAAUUCUGUGUGUCUGUUGGACAGCAGGUGGCGCCGCUGUAACAUGAACAUCAGGGCAAACUGGUAAAAACAACUAAUCUUUAUUGGAAACAAGAAAUAAAUACAGAAGAAAAGGACAGAAUCAUCAGCAGCUGGAAACAUCUGGACAAGACCAUGGAAACACCUGGAUUCCACAGUUGUUCUCGGUGAAGUCUCUGCAGAUUCCUCGGACCAGCGCCGGGACGAACUCCAUCAGGCCGCUGAACUCUCUGGUGAAGAAGGUGUGACUGUCUUUGGGCUCUGAUGACAUCACUCUGAGGUCAUCCAGCGGUGCCCACGCCGUGCCCACGGAGUAGAUGGUGAUGCCUGGUGAUUGGACGAAACACAAACAGGUGACACGUGACGUCACAUUUCGGACGACAUACUAAACUAUGACGUUUUAGUCCAUUUCCGGACGACAACAUCCACAUGUGAAAAGCUGAGACAAGUUCAUUUCUGCUUAAAGUAAUGAUUUGCAAAUAUUUUUUUGUCAAUCAGCUGAUCGGUUUAUUAAGUAAUCAUGCCAACAGUGAUAUGCAGCUUGGUUUUAGAGAGAAUAUUUACAUAGCUUGGAAUGCAAUGGAAUACAUUUUGAUUUUGAGGCACUCUGGGAGGUUAAUCAGAAAAUUCAUGAUGAUUUUUUUUCAAAGAAAACCUUUCUGGAGUGUUUUCCACGGCCUCCGUUACAUUAUUUCAUCAUAUGGCACAUUUUUACAUGUUUGAAAAAUGGCAUUUUUUUCCGACAUAGUAUAGUAAGGCGUUUUUUUUGCGCCAAAAUUCAUGAUGAUUUUUUUUCAAGAGAAAACCUUUCUGGAGUGUUUUUCACGGCCUCCUUUACAUUAUUUCAUCAUAUGGCACGUUUUUACAACAUGUUUGAAAAAUGGCAUUUUUUUUCGAC
ensembl:lncRNA